CGUUGGGAGCUCGCCGCUGCUGUGGAGAGAUGGUGCUCCAAGUGGAGGCAGCGUGGCUUUUGCUGACAUCUUACGGACAGUUACCUGUAAAAGGAGGCAGAGAAAUGAGGUAGUGAAGAGCAAGCCAGUCCAGCCAUGGGCACAGGUGCCAUUUGAGAUGUCUACUAGUUUCUACUACCUGCAUAAAUAUUGACUGCAUUUCUUGCUCUUGGGUCCUGCAUGGAGAGUCAGAAAUAAGGUUUAUGAAGCAUCUGCACUACAAUGGUCAGUGCACAACCGAGUUUUAAGUCAAGGACAUCGCACUUUUUGUGAAUGAACAUUGAAGCUGGGUGUGGUGGAUUGAGCCUGUACUCCUGUCCUAGAACGCAGUGAAAGAUCAUGAAAGUUUUUAAGUGCAGUGAGGACUACAAAACAAUCCAGCCUAAGACUUGCAGGUUGGCACUUUCAGAACAGAAAAGAUCAGCAAGAUUGAAGCUUACAUAUUUCAUAAGGACAAUUCAACUUGAAACAAUUGAACUUCAAACCAAGAAAUGUGGCUUAAAGUAUGUCUUCAUUUGCAGGUAGCUGGUGGUCUGCAUGUCCUGGAAUAGAAAAUCAAUUUUUAAAUAAAUUUCUUUUAACCACUUUGAA